GAUGAACGCUGGCGGCGUGCUUAACACAUGCAAGUCGAACGAAACACCUUAUUUGAUUUUCUUCGGAACUGAAGAUUUGGUGAUUGAGUGGCGGACGGGUGAGUAACGCGUGGGUAACCUGCCCUGUACAGGGGGAUAACAGUCAGAAAUGACUGCUAAUACCGCAUAAGACCACAGCACCGCAUGGUGCAGGGGUAAAAACUCCGGUGGUACAGGAUGGACCCGCGUCUGAUUAGCUGGUUGGUGAGGUAACGGCUCACCAAGGCGACGAUCAGUAGCCGGCUUGAGAGAGUGAACGGCCACAUUGGGACUGCGACACGGCCCAAACUCCUACGGGAGGCAGCAGUGGGGAAUAUUGCACAAUGGGGGAAACCCUGAUGCAGCGACGCCGCGUGAGUGAAGAAGUAUUUCGGUAUGUAAAGCUCUAUCAGCAGGGAAGAAAAUGACGGUACCUGACUAAGAAGCCCCGGCUAACUACGUG
rnacentral:rRNA from 1 species